AGUUUUAUGAUAGUAUGUUUGUCAUUGGUGAGAUUGUUGAAAGGUUUUUAAUAGUGAACUAAUUUUAAACAGUUUUACCCGACCAUAUGUUGAAGCAACGCGUUUUGGAACGAACCGCGGUGCAUGUUCAGUUAGCAACAAACAAAUUUGAUCCCAAAUCAACUGCGAUACACGUCACGUUAAACGCAUAGCAAAAAAAACAAAGAUUAUUAUUUUAUGUUCUAUAAUUGUUAGAAAUGUAAAUGUAUGCAAUACUAUAAAUCCAUAAAAUUCCAAACCUUGUGACCUAAAGACAUGCAUGUGCACAUUAUGCAGAAAGUUUUUCGCUCAGCCUUGUGCAAUAGAGAAUAAUCAUAAUAAUAAUGAUAUUUAUUGCCUUUUGCUAUAAAAGUGACAUUUUCUUGAACAUUUCUUAAUGAAGACAUUGAAGAGGUAAUUUAAAAAUAAAAACUAGCAUCCUGCAUCUCUGAUUGCCAGAUUUCUCAUAACACGCAUAAAUAUAAACAAAAAGACUCAAGUUAUAGCUCUUAAAAAAAACCUGUGUGUGUGUGAUAAUGUCAUAUAGUUAGUUCAAAAUUGCUUUGAUUUAUAGGGAUUUAAUUUAGUGACUUUACCAUUUGUUUUAAUGAUGUUUAUUUACAGUGCAAUCUAUUCUGCUUACCCGACUCAUGCAGACUUCUGUCCUGAUGUUUGGCUGUAGUCCUUCCAUCAUCCACUCUUCUGCAGCCAGUCUAUUUAUGGAGACCACCAUGAUCUAAUCUAUACAGAUCUAGUUGUCUCUUCUCCCACAAACUCCUCUUUCAGAUUUUGAGCGGAUCUCCUUCAUUCUGCAGCCAGCUCACCAGAACCUCUGGGUGCGCCAGCUGUGGAUAUUACAGGCCAAACUUUGGACACCCUAGGACAACAUCCUUAGCACAGAUCUACCUAUAGCCCUCCAUCAUUCCCACAUCCAUCUUGCAACAGUUUCAUUAACUGCAGUCCAUAACCAGUUCACGGUCUACACCUUGUCCAUUGCAAAUGUUAUGGAUUAUUCUAAUAGAGAUCUUUCUAUUAUUUUUUUGAGACUGUUAUUAUGUACUCUGUUAUGUUGUGAAUAAAGUCAACCCCCCCCCACCCCACCUUGAUGCUUUCAGCAGUUAAUACAUUAAAGUGUGUCUUUAAUGUUUUAUUAUUUAAAGAUUGUUUUAAAGUUUAUUACAGGCUCAGUUUAUUUUUUUUUUCACUAGAAAAUAAAGUGGAGUAUUAACUGUCAUAAUCAAGUAUGAGACUUUUGUCAGUAUCAUUAAUUCUAUGAGGCAAUAUGAAUCAAAUUAACAUUUGUAUAGGGUUUUCAUCCGAAGGCUUCUUCCUCAUUCAGUUAAACAUCAAGGGUUUUCUAUGCCUUUGUCACCUUUUACUUUCUCAUUGGAAAUUAUGAGCAUCAUUAUUUGGAAGAAAAUAAGAAUAUGAAAAUGGCUUUGAUUUCAAUGUAUUGAAUGGAAUCAAAGAACCACACAAACCUUUGACCUUCAUACAGACAUGGUAUAAAUUAAAGUGUUACUCAAAUUA